rnacentral:rRNA from 1 species
CUACUGGAAACGGUAGCUAAUACCGCAUAACGUCGCAAGACCAAAGUGGGGGACCUUCGGGCCUCAUGCCAUCAGAUGUGCCCAGAUGGGAUUAGCUAGUAGGUGGGGUAACGGCUCACCUAGGCGACGAUCCCUAGCUGGUCUGAGAGGAUGACCAGCCACACUGGAACUGAGACACGGUCCAGACUCCUACGGGAGGCAGCAGUGGGGAAUAUUGCACAAUGGGCGCAAGCCUGAUGCAGCCAUGCCGCGUGUGUGAAGAAGGCCUUCGGGUUGUAAAGCACUUUCAGCGGGGAGGAAGGCGUUAAGGUUAAUAACCUCAUCGAUUGACGUUACCCGCAUAAGAAGCAUCGGCUAAGUCCGUGCCAGCAGCCG